rnacentral:lncRNA from 1 species
AGAAAACCCGGUCUAGGCGCUACAAAAUUCCACUGACGGCAAUUUCAGUAAGUUGGGAUUGACGGAUCAGCCUUGACAGCAUAUUCAUGAAUUCCCCCAGACAAGUUGAAUACUCUCUUAAAACCCUGAAAAUUUUUGAGAUCGAAAUAAUGAGAAUAACUUUAAUUUUUUCCUCGACUCAAUGCUAUGCUGGACAGGCACCACAAAUUCGUACGGCUCAAUAUAGCUUUCUACAUCACACGCCAUACACACACGCAUAUAUAAAAGUAAAUAAACAUUGGAGGGAACGGAUUUUAAGUUUUACCUGUGCCUGCAACCACUUGGCAACUUGUAACGAUCGCAUUCCAUGGUGACACUGCAUUAUUAGAACAUCUUAACACAAGGAUAGGGCAGUUCAAAUUUCUAAAAGUGGAGGCAUUACAUGACAUCCAGCUAUACAAACACAUAGUGAAGCAAGAAAAUCAAUUGGGCCCUAAAUUAAAGUGAAUAAUUUCAAACACUAUUCAAUUUACCAGAAAAGGCUAGUAUGCUUUUACAAAGUAAAACUAACCUAGACAAUUAACAAGAUUGAUUUUGUUAUCAAGCAGAUUAGCAAAAGAGAAAAUUUUUGAUGACUUUUCCCUCUGAGAUUAACCAUUCAAUAUUGGGGGGGGGGGGGGGGGGUGUUGAGGAGGAGCAAGAGCAGGAAGAUCUUACAGAACAGAUUGACCUGGCUGAAGAAUUUUGAAAGAGUAAAUCUAUAUAAACUAGCAACUGAAUACACACAAAUGAACAUCUCCAACCAUAUGAGAGGCUAUUGCCUCAUCACUAGCCAGUCGGUAAAUCUAUAUACACUAGUACACUAGUCACAGAAGGACAAGGAUUCAUAAUAUAUUUUAAAAAAUAAAUGAGACACCAUUACUCUAAUUACUACACUGUUAGCAUCUUCACUGGAGUACACAAUACUAACAGUUGGCAGAAGCAAAGAUUGAACUGACCAUCACAUAAGUAUCCUUCUCAGUAUCUAACUUUGUAGUAAUUUCUGGUCCCCAACUGCCAAACUGACGAAGUGGAAGAACUUGAAA